UACGAAGGGUGCAAGCGUCAUUCGGAGUUAUUGGGCGUAAAGAGCGUGUAGGCGGCUUGUUAAGUCUGCUGUUAAAGUACCUAGCUCAACUAGGUGUUUGCGGCGGAAACUGGCGAGCUUGAGUAUAAGAGAGAGAAGUGGAAUUCUCGGAGUAGCGGUAAAAUGCGUAGAUCUCGAGAGGAACACCGGUAGCGAAGGCGGCUUCUUGGCUUAUAACUGACGCUCAAAUGCGAAAGCGUGGGGAGCAAACAGG
rnacentral:rRNA from 1 species